UACGUAGGGUGCAAGCGUUAAUCGGAAUUACUGGGCGUAAAGCGUGCGCAGGCGGUCUUGCAAGACAGAUGUGAAAUCCCCGGGCUCAACCUGGGAACUGCAUUUGUGACUGCAAGGCUGGAGUGCGGCAGAGGGGGAUGGAAUUCCGCGUGUAGCAGUGAAAUGCGUAGAUAUGCGGAGGAACACCGAUGGCGAAGGCAAUCCCCUGGGCCUGCACUGACGCUCAUGCACGAAAGCGUGGGGAGCAAACAGGAUUAGAAACCCCCGUAGUCC
rnacentral:rRNA from 1 species